UUAUCUAUAUGAGGCACAAACUCAUGCUAAACUACUCAAACUUAGAGUUGGGAAAGUCCGGUGAAAUCCCGGUACUGUGCCGCAGCUGUAAUCCGAUUGGUUAUUAAGUACUAGUUACUAAAACAACCAGCUACAAGCAACUAAUUCGGUUAGUCAGAACGCCAAUUUCUAAGGGUGUCAAAAG
rnacentral:ncRNA from 2 species